rnacentral:lncRNA from 1 species
UGACCCCCAGGAGGAUGUAGGCUACGGAUCGACAAAGGGGAGGCACGUGCCCUGGUCAAGUCGCCAUGUCUAUAGAGGGAGCCCGUGUAGCCGAAUGCUGGAGCCGAUGAGAGGAGAACCUGC